UACAGAGGGUGCAAGCGUUAAUCGGAAUUACUGGGCGUAAAGCGUGCGUAGACGGUUAUGUAAGUCGGGUGUGAAAGCCCCGGGCUCAACCUGGGAAUGCCAUUCGAGACUGCAUAGCUAGGGUGCGGAAGAGGGAAGCGGAAUUUCCGGUGUAGCGGUGAAAUUCGUAGAUAUCAAGCGGAACACCGGUGGCGAAGGCGGCCUUCUGGACGAUGACUGACGCUGAGACGCGAAAGCGUGGGGAGCAAACAGG
rnacentral:rRNA from 1 species